GGCUGGUCCAAUGGUAGUGGAUAAUCAGAAUUUAUUAAUAUUAGUGUUACUAAAGUUGGUAUUCAGCCCCCCACUGCUAAAUUUGACUGGCUUAAA
rnacentral:Y_RNA from 1 species